UGAUCCAGUAUUAAACACGGUAACAGCUGUUUUUAGACCAUGGUGUUAGCUAAAUUUUGGUUUGAUUGUCGGGGCGACAAUUCUUUUUGGGGGGGUGGAAUGUAGCAGUAUGAAGCCUGCCCCAGGAUUGAAGACACCUGGCACCUAAUCACCUGAGUGGGUGUGAGUAUAAAGGCAGACUCCCUCGCAUUCUCUUUUCAUGCCUGCAUUUGGUCACUUCAGUGGAAUGUCUGCUGGUUAACUUGCAGUGGUCAAACUCAAUCCGGAAAUAAAGCUGCCUGAAGCCUCCUGUUGAUACUGGGAUGUGGCAGUAAUUUACCCUUCCUAGUACAAUUUGGCAACAUCAAAAAGGCUUGUAUUGACAAGUGGAUCCUCCUGCUGUGGGUCCGGAAGGGGCUCUCUUGUUGAAGUGGCGUUAUCCAG